rnacentral:rRNA from 1 species
ACUGAGGGUGCAAGCGUUAAUCGGAAUUACUGGGCGUAAAGCGAGUGUAGGCGGCUACGUAAGUCGGAUGUGAAAGCCCUGGGCUUAACCUGGGAAUGCCAUUCGAAACUGCGUAGCUAGAGUCUGAGAGAGGGAAGUGGAAUUCCAGGUGUAGCGGUGAAAUGCGUAGAGAUCUGGAGGAACAUCAGUGGCGAAGGCGGCUUCCUGGCUCAAGACUGACGCUGAGGCUCGAAAGCGUGGGGAGCAAACAGG